rnacentral:rRNA from 1 species
GACGAACGCUGGCGGCGUGCCUAAUACAUGCAAGUAGAACGCACAGUUAUACCGUAGCUUGCUACACCAUAGACUGUGAGUUGCGAACGGGUGAGUAACGCGUAGGUAACCUGCCCGGUAGCGGGGGAUAACUAUUGGAAACGAUAGCUAAUACCGCAUAAUAUUGAUUAUUGCAUGAUAAUUAAUUGAAAGGUGCAAUUGCACCACCACCAGAUGGACCUGCGUUGUAUUAGCCAGUAGGUGAGGUAACGGCUCACCUAGGCGACGAUACAUAGCCGACCUGAGAGGGUGAUCGGCCACACUGGGACUGAGACACGGCCCAGACUCCUACGGGAGGCAGCAGUAGGGAAUCUUCGGCAAUGGACGAAAGUCUGACCGAGCAACGCCGCGUGAGUGAAGAAGGUUUUCGGAUCGUAAAGCUCUGUUGUAAGAGAAGAACGGGUGUGAGAGUGGAAAGUUCACACUGUGACGGUAUCUUACCAGAAAGGGACGGCUAACUACGUG